AGCAACCUUCCCUGUAGGUCAGCUGCUCCAAGUAGGCUUAUCUUACCUUGAGCACGUAAGAUCUGGGAGACAGGGACUCGGGCUCCCACGGAGAGGACCAAGGAAGGGCUCUGAUCCUCUGAGCUCUGCGGAUAAUAAAAUUCCUAACUUGAGAGGUAGCAGAGACCACAAACUCCUUGAAAUCGAGAAUCUGUCCAUUGCCACCAUUGUGCGGGAGCCAGAAAGAAAUUUCGCUGGGUGUUUCUUGUAGAGGCUGUGAAUUACUGCAUUUCUUCAGUUUUUGCUGGAGCACACUGAAAGAGGAGCUGAGCGGCAAGGGUGUCAAAAGAUCAUGGAAAGUCCAAAUCAAGGAUUCAAGCAUUUGGUCUUCCUCUUAGCAGGCUUUCAUCUCCUUCCACAUCCAGUUUGAGGUCUUAAAAAUCUACAAGUUAAAACAAAGGAAUCACUGAAUAAUCCAUUUCUUUAACAGCGUCACUGAUACUAAGUGUUAACCACCUGAAGUUUAGCUAUUGUGAUAAUCAUGAAUGCAUCUUAUCAUGGUUUUAAACAUCACUUCUAUAAUGGCUAAUUAUGUUUUGGCACAUAAUUGGUACUCAUCCAAUGAAUACUGAGUGAUCCUGGCCUUCACAGAGCCAUGUGGUUUUAAGGGAGAGAAGUGGUCCCACGGGCUGGCAAGCAAGCAGAGAAGGAUGUGGAUGAAUAAAUCUACAAAUUGAGCAUCUCUCUGAUGUGCAUUGUAAAGAUGAUCUGCUGGGCGUUGGGCAUUUGAUAGCACACAUAACUGCUUUUGACAAGCGUAACUGCUAGUGAUAAAAGUUAUGUCAACAUCUGAGUGAGGUGUAGAACAGCAGUACCUAACUUCUUCAGGGAGGACUCAGAACUGACACACACAGAGAAUAGGGCCACUAGAAAGGGCAUCCAAGAAAACCGGAACAGAAUCCAGUCUCCAGAACGUUCUUAACCGAGGUGUAAGAGAUUCCAUUGUCAUUGGCAGAGAAAGUAUUUGCUCUCUACACGAGAAGAGCCAGCAAGAACGAUGGAAGGGACUUCACUAAAGAAGCAGGGCACCCUGGAACAGAGCAGAGGGUGGAUGUGGCUGUUCCCUGGAACGUCUGCCUCCUCUUCGUAUGGCUUUGCCAUUUCUUGUCUCAAAAGAGGCUGCUGAGCUUUCUCUCCUUUGUAACUUCAUGUCACCCAGGAGAGAUUUGUGAUUUAGAUCCCAGCGCCUGGAUACCACUGUGAACCCGUGUUUGCACCCUUACAUUCAAAGAUUCCCACACAGAGGCCCCUGAGGGAUUCUGAGGACAGAACCGCUUUGGGGGACUUGGGAAAGGACCAGUCUCUUUGAUUUCCCGGGAAAGGCUACCACAACAAAGCUCUGAAGGUCAAAGGUCAGUUUUACACUGAACAAGACAUUGCAAAUUUUGACUUUUUGGUGAGUUCACAGAGAGGUCACCAGGACUAGUUCCUACACACACUGCCAGUAACAACAGAUUUGUUCACAAUGAAGAAAAAAAAAAAAGGAAAAGAAAGAAAAGAAAAAAAAUCUGGAAUAUUGUUUCAAAGUCUCUAUGGAUGAAUUUUAAAACUUGAUGAAAUGAUUGAUCAACUGGCUAUAAAAUUUGAACAGAUGAGUCAAAGAACAGAGCAAGGUUUAGAUUGUAACCAUAAACACGUAGCCUCAGGAACAACAAGGUAAGACCAAUGCUUGCAGUGUUGAGCUUGCAGGGUCUGGUUUUCAGAGGAGAGUCACAACGGUCCCAGGCUUUUUCCUGUGUCUGUUCUGUCUCUAGAUGAUGUCUUUCUGAACUCUUGACUCUCUGUUCGCUCUUCUCGGCUACUUUCGGCAGUAGUCUGAGGAACCUUGGAAACCAGGUCCCAGCCUGCAUAGACAGACUGGCUACAAAGCCCACAGCCCUGCUGAAAGCCCAGGUCAUCACUAUUAAACACCAGAUCCUCUCUUGGCCUGGCAGAAGAUCACAGAUAGCUGUGUUUGGAGAACCCAGGUAGUCUGAAAGGCAGCAUUGUUCAUGUACAGCACUUCGUCCAGAGCAUCCUGCUCUAAAAGCUUGUACCAGGCUCUCCAGGCCUUUCUCAACAACAAUCCUGGUAGGAGAGGGUGGAAGCUUUGUCAGAGAGCUAUUUCAUCCAAGGAGGGUUAUUUUAUACUUAAAGAAACUGGGGACAGAGGCACAAUGAAAACAAAGGGACUUUUAAUCCAGGGGCAGUUGGAAAAGAUAGUUUUAUGGCAGUGGGAGAAUGCGUUAAGAUAAAACUCAGUUGAAAGACCAGAUUAGAGUAGGAAAAGAAGACAAUGCAGGAAAAAAAGAGAGAAAACCCCUUUAUACCACCCAGUUACUAUAAUUUGAGGUGUGAGGAGGGAAAGCCUAGUUUUGAUGCUAGUUUUCAGGAUCAGAGGUUUCAUUGUUUUUGAUGGAAACAUCUCCAUAAUAUUGAAACCAUGAGUCUCUGGAGCACAGAUCUCCUUUUGUACUAAUUAGGGACCAUAGACAGCCAGUUCUUGGUUUUGCUUUUACACGUGGUAGAAGUGUAAUGCACUGUUCUCCAUAGUUGGACUUCAAGAGGGGGCCUGCUGCGCUCAGUGGCUGUUCUCCAGCUUUCUCAGCAAGCAUGUUAGAUAGCCCUGCCUUGGAAUGUUGCCAAGAGCUCCAGAGCAGCCUGCUGAGAAAGCCCUUCUGAGGGUCAGUUUGGAAGGAGCCAUAAGAAAAAAAAAAAAA